AAGGAAUUGUGUAGGAAUCUGCCUGAUGGUCCAGAGGUGAUUCUGAAUGGAAGAAGCUAGUCAGGACUGGCACAUUGGAAACAGGGACCGAUCCUGGCUCCAGCGCCUGCCUGUCCCGGGCUUGGAGGCAUGGCAGGUCGCCGAGGAUGGAUGAGGAGCCCUCCCCAUCGGGCGGCCGGCUGGACAAUGGCUCUUGGACACCACGUAUUUUAAUUGUUGGUUGCAACAUGUCAGAGGCAGUUCAUUCUCAAGCAUUAUUGAAAGGGGGAG